rnacentral:lncRNA from 1 species
UAGAGCACCUGCUCUGAUACCACUUGUUGCCCAAGGUGACAACCCAAGAGGGGGGGUGAAUUGGGUUUUCUAAAAAUUAUGUUCCCUAAUUUAUACUUUGAAUUGAAUGCAGCGGAAUGAUAAAAUGUUAUUUACUUAAGCUCUAGGCAAUUACAAGUAAAGCAUUGGAAAAUUAAGCUAGAGCAAUUAUACUAUGGCUUUAGGGUGCAAUUAAUCUAAAAUUAACUUAUAGUUGUAUGAUCAAUUUUAAUCUAUGUGUAUGGUAAGAAUGAAGUGGAAGCUAAGCAAAUUCUAAACAAUCACUUAUAACUCUAUAGAAAACAAAGCUAGAGAUAUUACACAAUUAAGUAUGAAUGUAAGGC